CUUAAAUUGAAGAGUUUGAUCAUGGCUCAGAUUGAACGCUGGCGGCAGGCCUAACACAUGCAAGUCGAGCGGUAGCACAGGAGAGCUUGCUCUCUGGGUGACGAGCGGCGGACGGGUGAGUAAUGUCUGGGAAACUGCCUGAUGGAGGGGGAUAACUACUGGAAACGGUAGCUAAUACCGCAUAACCUCGCAAGAGCAAAGAGGGGGACCUUCGGGCCUCUCGCCAUCAGAUGUGCCCAGAUGGGAUUAGCUAGUAGGUGAGGUAAUGGCUCACCUAGGCGACGAUCCCUAGCUGGUCUGAGAGGAUGACCAGCCACACUGGAACUGAGACACGGUCCAGACUCCUACGGGAGGCAGCAGUGGGGAAUAUUGCACAAUGGGCGCAAGCCUGAUGCAGCCAUGCCGCGUGUGUGAAGAAGGCCUUCGGGUUGUAAAGCACUUUCAGCGGGGAGGAAGGCGGUAAGGUUAAUAACCUUAUCGAUUGACGUUACCCGCAGAAGAAGCACCGGCUAACUCCGUGCCAGCAGCCGCGGUAAUACGGAGGGUGCAAGCGUUAAUCGGAAUGACUGGGCGUAAAGCGCACGCAGGCGGUCUGUUAAGUUGGAUGUGAAAUCCCCGGGCUUAACCUGGGAACUGCAUUCAAAACUGACAGGCUAGAGUCUUGUAGAGGGGGGUAGAAUUCCAGGUGUAGCGGUGAAAUGCGUAGAGAUCUGGAGGAAUACCGGUGGCGAAGGCGGCCCCCUGGACAAAGACUGACGCUCAGGUGCGAAAGCGUGGGGAGCAAACAGGAUUAGAUACCCUGGUAGUCCACGCUGUAAACGAUGUCGACUUGGAGGUUGUGCCCUUGAGGCGUGGCUUCCGGAGCUAACGCGUUAAGUCGACCGCCUGGGGAGUACGGCCGCAAGGUUAAAACUCAAAUGAAUUGACGGGGGCCCGCACAAGCGGUGGAGCAUGUGGUUUAAUUCGAUGCAACGCGAAGAACCUUACCUACUCUUGACAUCCAGAGAAUUUGCUAGAGAUAGCUUAGUGCCUUCGGGAACUCUGAGACAGGUGCUGCAUGGCUGUCGUCAGCUCGUGUUGUGAAAUGUUGGGUUAAGUCCCGCAACGAGCGCAACCCUUAUCCUUUGUUGCCAGCGAUUCGGUCGGGAACUCAAAGGAGACUGCCGGUGAUAAACCGGAGGAAGGUGGGGAUGACGUCAAGUCAUCAUGGCCCUUACGAGUAGGGCUACACACGUGCUACAAUGGCGUAUACAAAGAGAAGCGACCUCGCGAGAGUAAGCGGACCUCAUAAAGUACGUCGUAGUCCGGAUUGGAGUCUGCAACUCGACUCCAUGAAGUCGGAAUCGCUAGUAAUCGUAGAUCAGAAUGCUACGGUGAAUACGUUCCCGGGCCUUGUACACACCGCCCGUCACACCAUGGGAGUGGGUUGCAAAAGAAGUAGGUAGCUUAACCUUCGGGAGGGCGCUUACCACUUUGUGAUUCAUGACUGGGGUGAAGUCGUAACAAGGUAACCGUAGGGGAACCUGCGGUUGGAUCACCUCCUUACC
rnacentral:rRNA from 2 species